rnacentral:rRNA from 1 species
ACGCUGGCGGCGUGCCUAAUACAUGCAAGUAGAACGCUGAAGGAGGAGCUUGCUUCUCUGGAUGAGUUGCGAACGGGUGAGUAACGCGUAGGUAACCUGCCUGGUAGCGGGGGGUAACUAUUGGAAACGAUAGCUAAUACCGCAUAACAGUAGAUGUUGCAUGACAUUUGCUUAAAAGGUGCAAUUGCAUCACUACCAGAUGGACCUGCGUUGUAUUAGCUAGUUGGUGGGGUAACGGCUCACCAAGGCGACGAUACAUAGCCGACCUGAGAGGGUGAUCGGCCACACUGGGACUGAGACACGGCCCAGACUCCUACGGGAGGCAGCAGUAGGGAAUCUUCGGCAAUGGACGGAAGUCUGACCGAGCAACGCCGCGUGAGUGAAGAAGGUUUUCGGAUCGUAAAGCUCUGUUGUAAGAGAAGAACGAGUGUGAGAGUGGAAAGUUCACACUGUGACGGUAUCUUACCAGAAAGGGACGGCUAACUACGUGCCAGCAGCCGCGGUAAUACGUAGGUCCCGAGCGUUGUCCGGAUUUAUUGGGCGUAAAGCGAGCGCAGGCGGUUAGAUAAGUCUGAAGUUAAAGGCUGUGGCUUAACCAUAGUACGCUUUGGAAACUGUUUAACUUGAGUGCAAGAGGGGAGAGUGGAAUUCCAUGUGUAGCGGUGAAAUGCGUAGAUAUAUGGAGGAACACCGGUGGCGAAAGCGGCUCUCUGGCUUGUAACUGACGCUGAGGCU